rnacentral:rRNA from 1 species
CUAAUACCGCAUAACGUAUUCGGACCGCAUGAUCUGAAUACCAAAGCUUUAUGUGCUGAAAGAUGGCCUCGCGUCUGAUUAGCUAGUUGUGGGGUAAGGCCCACCAAGGCGACGAUCAGUAGCCGGUCUGAGAGGAUGAACGGCCACAUUGGGACUGAGAUACGGCCCCAGGACUCCUACGGGAGGCAGCAGUGGGGGAAUAUUGGGCAAUGGGGGAAACCCUGACCCAGCAACGCCGCGUGAAGGAAGAAGGCCUUCGGGUUGUAAACUUCUUUUACCAGGGACGAAGAACGUGACGGUACCUGGAGAAAAAGCAACGGCUAACUACGUG